GAGGAUGCGAGCGUUAUCCGGAUUUAUUGGGUUUAAAGGGUGCGUAGGCGGUCUGUUAAGUCAGCGGUAAAAUUGCGGGGCUCAACCUCGCCGAGCCGUUGAAACUGGUAGACUCGAGUGGGCGAGAAGUACGCGGAAUGCGUGGUGUAGCGGUGAAAUGCAUAGAUAUCACGCAGAACUCCGAUUGCGAAGGCAGCGUACCGGCGCCCAACUGACGCUGAAGCACGAAGGCGUGGGUAUCGAA
rnacentral:rRNA from 1 species